rnacentral:lncRNA from 1 species
UUUUCCUACUCAUAUUAAGGUUAAGAAAUUCGAAAACAAAAAGAGCGCAAAGAGAUUCCAUUACUGCCCAAAGAAACACGGUGAAAGAUUUAGCAAGAGAAUAUCAAAACAAUCAGUUAAUUACAACAUAAUCAUCACCGGAGAAAGAAAUAUUACUACUUAAGAAGAAAAACAAUGGAAAUGUACCUCUUACUCUCAGUCACAAGUUGAGCUGGAUGUUGAUUCUCUUCAACGAGUACCAGGAGAGAACAACUGGGUUCUAGUCAGUCAAUGGUGAUUGCUGCAAGGUGGAGAAUUGCUUCCUUUGCAAACUUUGCGGAGAUUAGCUAAAUUUUUUGCUUUAGUUCUUGGCUUUCUGCCUUGGACUGUUUUGCUGGGUGGGAGAAAUUGGGGGCAGCGGGUCGUGGACUCGAGGUCAAUGGAGGUUCAGCACAUUUGGUGGCAAAGCACCCCAGUGGAAGGGCCGAAAGAAGGAAGGUGAUGGGAAGGAAGGAAGGAAGAAGCGGCAAAGCUGAGUCGGAGGCGGAGGAACUAGGAAGGAAGGUGAAUGAGACAGCGGAGUCAGGCGGUGGAGGCGGAGGAAGGAAGGUGAGACUGAGGAUUGAGGAAGACAGUGACGAAGAGACAAUGAGGAAGAGGCGGCAGAAGAGUAAGGACUAAGGUGAGUUAAAUUAGG